rnacentral:rRNA from 1 species
AUCCAACCUUCCGGUAACUCCGGUAUAGCCUUUCGAAAGAAAGAUUAAUCCCGGAUAGUAUGGUGAUUCCGCAUGGUUUUUCCAUUAAAGGAUUCCGGUUACCGAUGGGGAUGCGUUCCAUUAGGCAGUUGGCGGGGUAACGGCCCACCAAACCUACGAUGGAUAGGGGUUCUGAGAGGAAGGUCCCCCACAUUGGAACUGAGACACGGUCCAAACUCCUACGGGAGGCAGCAGUGAGGAAUAUUGGUCAAUGGGCGGAAGCCUGAACCAGCCAAGUAGCGUGAAGGAUGACUGCCCUAUGGGUUGUAAGCUUCUUUUAUAAGGGAAUAAUUGCGGGUACGCGUACCCGUUUGCAUGCACCUUAUGAAUAAGGAUCGGCUAACUCCGUGCCAGCAGCCGCGGUAAUACGGAGGAUCCGAGCGUUAUCCGGAUUUAUUGGGUUUAAAGGGAGCGUAGGCGGGCGCUUAAGUCAGCUGUGAAAGUUUGGGGCUCAACCUUAAAAUUGCAGUUGAUACUGGGUGCCUUGAGUGCAGUAUAGGCAGGCGGAAUUCGUGGUGUAGCGGUGAAAUGCUUAGAUAUCACGAAGAACUCCUACUGCGAAGGCAGCUUGCUGGAGUGUAACUGACGCUGAUGCUCGAAAGUGUGGGUAUCAAACAGGAUUAGAUACCCUGGUAGUCCACACAGUAAACGAUGAAUACUCGCUGUUUGCGAUAUACUGCAAGCGGCCAAGCGAAAGCGUUAAGUAUUCCACCUGGGGAGUA